GAUAACAGCGUAAUUUCUUCGGAGAGUUCAUAUUGAUGAGGAAGUUUGCGACCUCGAUGUUGGAUUAAAAUUAGUGUUAGGUGUAGCAGCUUAAUAACUAGGUCUGUUCGACCUUUAAAGUUUUACAUGAUCUGAGUUCAGACCGGCGUAAGCCAGGUC
rnacentral:ncRNA from 1 species